CUUUAAUAAAUUUAGCGGCGGAGGGUGAGUACACGUGGGUAACCUGCCUGUAAGACUGGGAUAACUCCGGGAAACCGGAGCUAAUACCGGAUAGUUCCUUGAACCGCAUGGUUCAAGGAUGAAAGACGGUUUCGGCUGUCACUUACAGAUGGACCCGCGGCGCAUUAGCUAGUUGGUGAGGUAACGGCUCACCAAGGCGACGAUGCGUAGCCGACCUGAGAGGGUGAUCGGCCACACUGGGACUGAGACACGGCCCAGACUCCUACGGGAGGCAGCAGUAGGGAAUCUUCCGCAAUGGACGAAAGUCUGACGGAGCAACGCCGCGUGAGUGAUGAAGGUUUUCGGAUCGUAAAGCUCUGUUGUUAGGGAAGAACAAGUGCAAGAGUAACUGCUUGCACCUUGACGGUACCUAACCAGAAAGCCACGGCUAACUACGUGCCAGCAGCCGCGGUAAUACGUAGGUGGCAAGCGUUGUCCGGAAUUAUUGGGCGUAAAGGGCUCGCAGGCGGUUUCUUAAGUCUGAUGUGAAAGCCCCCGGCUCAACCGGGGAGGGUCUGG
rnacentral:rRNA from 1 species